GGGAUAACACUUGGAAACAGGUGCUAAUACCGCAUAACCAUAGUUACCGCAUGGUAGCUAUGUAAAAGGUGGCCAUGCUACCGCUUUUGGAUGGGCCCGCGGCGCAUUAGCUAGUUGGUGGGGUAAAGGCUUACCAAGGCAAUGAUGCGUAGCCGAACUGAGAGGUUGAUCGGCCACAUUGGGACUGAGACACGGCCCAAACUCCUACGGGAGGCAGCAGUAGGGAAUCUUCCACAAUGGGCGAAAGCCUGAUGGAGCAACGCCGCGUGGGUGAAGAAGGUCUUCGGAUCGUAAAACCCUGUUGUUAGAGAAGAAAGUGCGUGAGAGUAACUGUUCACGUUUCGACGGUAUCUAACCAGAAAGCCACGGCUAACUACGUGCCAGCAGCCGCGGUAAUACGUAGGUGGCAAGCGUUAUCCGGAUUUAUUGGGCGUAAAGGGAACGCAGGCGGUCUUUUAAGUCUGAUGUGAAAGCCUUCGGCUUAACCGGAGUAGUGCAUUGGAAACUGGGAGACUUGAGUGCAGAAGAGGAGAGUGGAACUCCAUGUGUAGCGGUGAAAUGCGUAGAUAUAUGGAAGAACACCAGUGGCGAAAGCGGCUCUCUGGUCUGUAACUGACGCUGAGGUUCGAAAGCGUGAGUAGCAAACAGGAUUAGAUACCCUGGUAGUCCACGCCGUAAAC
rnacentral:rRNA from 1 species